rnacentral:rRNA from 1 species
UACGGAGGGUGCAAGCGUUGUUCGGAAUCACUGGGCGUAAAGGGCGUGUAGGCGGUCCGCUAAGUCUGAUGUGAAAGCCCGAGGCUUACCCUCGGAAGUGCAUUGGAGACUGGCGGACUGGAGUCCCGGAGAGGAGGGUGGAAUUCCUGGUGUAGCGGUGAAAUGCGUAGAUAUCAGGAGGAACACCGGUGGCGAAGGCGGCCCUCUGGACGGUGACUGACGCUGAGGCGCGAAAGCGUGGGGAGCGAACCGG